rnacentral:lncRNA from 1 species
CUGGCAGUUGCAAUUAACAUCUUCGUUCGUUUAUAGAAAAGAGGACAGCUCACUUGUGCACUCAUUUGUAUGUCUGAUUCAAUGAGUCUGAUCAAUCAGGACAAAAGGAAGAAGGUUAUUAGACCAACAUCAGUGCCUAAUCUUCCUAUGCAAUAUCCAAACAGAGCAGACGAAUUCAACUCCAUGUCGCGUCUGCAGUGCCCAGUCAUACACUGGAACCCUUCUUUGGGAUCGUCACGCCGUGACAUUUGGAAUUGUUACCUUUGGGAUCAGUCAGUACCGCUUGCAGUAAACAGCAGCCAGACUCCUGUCAACGUAAGUCACUUGCCCGAACACUAUCCAAAC